AGAUAGCAACACUCCAAGAACUUGCAGUGCUGUUGAAAACAGACAAAGAGAGUAAUGUUUGUGAAGCAGUCCGAUACUGCUGAUGAGAAACAUAGAAAAGAGUUUAAAUAAUGUGUUGUUAAAAUAAGGCUUGGGGCCUCACAUUGAACAAUGUGGAUAAAGCAAAAUAUUGGCCACCUGUUAAUUGAAUAUUUGAUAUUUUAUGGAUGCUCAUAGAUGUUUGAUGGCUUGCCUUUUUUAAUGGAAAUGGACAAAUUUUCCACCAACUUCAGUAGUGCUGGAUCCAA